rnacentral:ncRNA from 1 species
CCGUCUGUUAAGGUCCCGAAGUAGACGCUCAGUCACUAAGGAGGUUGAAUUACUGUGACAACCAGGAUGUUGGCUUAGAAGCAGCCACCAUUUAAAAAGUGCGUAACAGCUUACUGGUCGAGUAAUUCUGCGCCGAUAAUGAUCGGGAGUAAGCGUCUCACCGAAGCAGCGG